rnacentral:rRNA from 1 species
CAGGAUGAACGCUAGCGAUAGGCUUAACACAUGCAAGUCGAGGGGCAGCACGGUGUAGCAAUACACUGGUGGCGACCGGCGUACGGGUGCGUAACACGUAUGCAACCUACCCGCUAGUUGGGGGAUAACCCGGCGAAAGUCGGACUAAUACCCCAUAUUAUUCUUACCGGGCAUCCGGUAGGUCUGAAAGAUUUAUCGAUUGCGGAUGGGCAUGCGGAUGAUUAGCUAGUAGGUGGGGUAACGGCUCACCUAGGCGACGAUCAUUAGGGGUUCUGAGAGGAAGGUCCCCCCACACUGGAACUGAGACACGGUCCAGACUCCUACGGGAGGCAGCAGUGAGGAAUAUUGGUCAAUGGGCGCUAGCCUGAACCAGCCAAGUCGCGUGAAGGAUGACAAGAUCUAUGGUUUGUAAACUUCUUUUGCAGGGGAGUAAAGUGCGACACGUGUGUUGUAUUGCAAGUACCCUGCGAAUAAGCAUCGGCUAACUCCGUGCCAGCCGCUGC